UCACAGCCUGCACUGAGUUCCAGUGAUCUGGUUUGACUGACACCAGUGCUCACAGGUUUUCCCUCUGAAGUGGCACAUGAGCUCUGCCUCUCCUGUCCUGCCUGUGCACCUUCUGUCCUACAUGACCAAGAUCUUCCUCUGCACCCCUGGGAGGAUGCCUGCUCGCUGCUCAUAAACUUCACCUGUCUUGGAGAGAAGUUACCAGAAUAGAGCUUAUGAGGUUGGAGGAACUUGGGAGAUGCCUGCUUGACUGUGGGUGAGAAAGACAGGUUAGCAAGUAUAUUCCCACAAGUAUGCUAACCCUGGUCUGGCCUUGGUAGGAAUCAGGAUGGAUAAUACAGCUUUUAAUGUGCUUUGCCUCUGCUGCUGAGCUGCACUCUCAACGCUGUACUGUGGUGUGCACACAAAGGACACGGCUCUAGGUGAAGGAAUGAUGAUCAUGCAAAAAGUGAAUUGAGAAUGCCAGGUGUCUUACAUUUUAUGGGAUAGUGGACUGGUGAACAAGAGCUUUUCUUACAGCCCUCCUCUGCUUUUGCUGCUUGCAGUACUGUCAGCAAGCCUCACUGGUUUGGAAGGAGUGGAGAUGAGUUGCCAGCUGCUGUUUCUCAUCUCGUGGGUUUGAAGAGCUGUUUCUCACUGACACUGGCCUGAAGUCUAUAAACACUCAUUCCUGGGGUAACCACAAGAAGAUUUUCCAGAGCAAAGGCCACUAAAACACUGUCUGCAGUGCAUGGGGAAAGCUUCAGAAUGGAAACUGAGAUGGAGCCUGAUAUUCCAUUUGUUUUAGUAACAGUGUCUUGAGCUGAGAAGGAAAAUGCAUGCAAUUAACAAAUUUAAUUAUACUGGUAUUUUUUCUUGCUUUUAGUCCUGAGAACAAAGGAGUAGUUCAUGGUGAGGAGUGAACCCAAAACUCUGAAGUAUAGACUACAAACUUUGGUUUAAUAAUUUCUGUUAAUCAUCAGAACAAUCUUUGUAAAUUCAA